GGGGCUCCUGGGAAGGGGUGAGUCAGGGCCGGGGAGCCGGAGGCCCCCAGCCAGGAGUCGGCCCAUCACACCUCUCCCCCAGCCCCCCGCUUGCAGCAAACUUGUUCACCGAAGCACUGACUCAUGUGCAGCUUGUGGUCAGCUCUGACACUCAGCUCAUUCUCUGCUCAUCUUGUGCCCAGCGGGUGGCCUUUAAUUAGGUGCUGUCAACUUCCUGUCUGUCCAUGUUGUCUUUCCCCCUAUUUUUCGCAGAGUAUAUGAAAUCUAAAGAUAUGACAAUGAUGAGGAUGGAAGGUAGAAUUUGCUAUAGUCUAAGUGUUUUAAGUGAAUUAUUAUUUAAAAAAAAAAUCACCAAGUAACCCUCCUAUUUCCUUUCUGUGGACAGGGAAAGUCAGGGUUGAAAAGUCGGAUCACUUGCCAGGGCAACAGAGCUGGGGCUGUGUCUGGUGAAGCUGGAAUACGACCAGCAAUGUGGCUGCAAAGCAUAAGGCCAGCGGGGUCCAGCAGGACAGCCCAGGGCUUCCACUCCAGCACCCCACCACACACCUGGAGAUUGGAGACCUCGGGCUGCAUUUGGCACUGCAGGCUGUUGAAAGGGACCCAGGCUCCUGGCAGGUCCCCCUCCACCACCUACAAAAGGAAAGUCUUUCCAAGAAGCCCUGGCCGAUGGCCAGGCUGUCCCCUGAUUCUGACACCCCAGCUCCUUAACCUGACUGGCCUGGGCACCAACAUUGGUUGGCAGGAUCUCCGUAAGCGGCACGUGGAUGUAGUUGUGUGUUUUUAGUGUUACAACCAGAGAUAUGGAAAAUAUGCUCCAUGUGUGAAACAGGAAUCGUAGUGCACUCUGCUGUCGCAUGUAAAUAAAAAAUAAUAAAGAAGGGAAAAAAUAAUUUUAGAGUUUAAGAAUUUAAAUGCAUUUGAAAAAAUAAAGCUAAAUCACCAAUCA